rnacentral:rRNA from 1 species
UGACCUAUAUCAGACAGACAACCUUCAC